rnacentral:rRNA from 1 species
CCUACGGGAGGCAGCAGUGAGGAAUAUUGGUCAAUGGGCGCGAGUCUGAACCAGCCAAGUAGCGUGAAGGAUGACUGCCCUACGGGUUGUAAACUUCUUUUAUAAAGGAAUAAAGCGAGGCACGUGUGCCUUUUUGCAUGUACUUUAUGAAUAAGGAUCGGCUAACUCCGUGCCAGCAGCCGCGGUAAUACGGAGGAUCCGAGCGUUAUCCGGAUUUAUUGGGUUUAAAGGGAGCGUAGAUGGGUUGGUAAGUCAGUUGUGAAAGUUUGCGGCUCAACCGUAAAAUUGCAAUUGAUACUGGCAGUCGUGAGUACAGUUGAGGUAGGCGGAAUUCGUGGUGUAGCGGUGAAAUGCUUAGAUAUCACGAAGAACUCCGAUUGCGAAGGCAGCUUACUAAACUGCCACUGACAUUGAUGCUCGAAAGUGUGGGUAUCAAACAGGAUUAGAUACCCCAGUAGUC